rnacentral:rRNA from 1 species
GAUGAACGCUGACAGAAUGCUUAACACAUGCAAGUCCACUUGAACUUCGGUUUGGGUGGCGGACGGGUGAGUAACGCGUAAAGAACUUGCCUCACAGCUAGGGGCAACAUUUGGAAACGAAUGCUAAUACCUGAUAUUAUGAUUAUAUGGCAUCGUAUAAUUAUGAAAGCUAUAUGCGCUGUGAGAGAGCUUUGCGUCCCAUUAGCUAGUUGGAGAGGUAACAGCUCACCAAGGCGAUGAUGGGUAGCCGGCCUGAGAGGGUGAUCGGCCACAAGGGGACUGAGACACGGCCCUUACUCCUACGGGAGGCAGCAGUGGGGAAUAUUGGACAAUGGACCGAGAGUCUGAUCCAGCAAUUCUGUGUGCACGAUGAAGUUUUUCGGAAUGUAAAGUGCUUUCAGUUGGGAAGAAAAAAAUGACGGUACCAACAGAAGAAGUGACGGCUAAAUACGUG